AGCGAACGCUGGCGGCAGGCUUAACACAUGCAAGUCGAACGCCCCGCAAGGGGAGUGGCAGACGGGUGAGUAACACGUGGGAACGUACCCUUUGGUUCGGAAUAACUUGGGGAAACUCAAGCUAAUACCGGAUAAGCCCUUAUGGGGAUAGGUUUACUGCCGAAGGAUCGGCCCGCGUCUGAUUAGCUAGUUGGUGAGGUAAUGGCUCACCAAGGCGACGAUCAGUAGCUGGUCUGAGAGGAUGAUCAGCCACACUGGGACUGAGACACGGCCCAGACUCCUACGGGAGGCAGCAGUGGGGAGUAUUGGACAAUGGGGGCAACCCUGAUCCAGCCAUGCCGCGUAAGUGAUGAAGGCCUUAGGGUUGUAAAGCUCUUUUACCCGGGACGAUAAUGACUGUACCGGGAGAAUAAGCCCCGGCUAACUUCGUGCCAGCCGCCGCGGUAA
rnacentral:rRNA from 1 species